rnacentral:rRNA from 1 species
UACGUAGGGCGCAAGCGUUGUCCGGAAUUAUUGGGCGUAAAGAGCUCGUAGGCGGCCUGUUGCGUCCGCUGUGAAAUCCCGGGGCUUAACCCCGGGCCUGCAGUGGGUACGGGCAGACUAGAGUGCGGUAGGGGAGACUGGAAUUCCUGGUGUAGCGGUGAAAUGCGCAGAUAUCAGGAGGAACACCGGUGGCGAAGGCGGGUCUCUGGGCCGUAACUGACGCUGAGGAGCGAAAGCGUGGGGAGCGAACAGG